UACGGGGGGGGGCAAGCGUUGUUCGGAAUUACUGGGCGUAAAGGGCGCGUAGGCGGCCUUCUAAGUCAGACGUGAAAUCCCUCGGCUCAACCGAGGAACUGCGUCUGAUACUGGAAGGCUUGAAUCCGGGAGAGGGAUGUGGAAUUCCAGGUGUAGCGGUGAAAUGCGUAGAUAUCUGGAGGAACACCGGUGGCGAAGGCGGCAUCCUGGACCGGUAUUGACGCUGAGGCGCGAAAGCUAGGGGAGACAAGCGGGU
rnacentral:rRNA from 1 species